rnacentral:piRNA from 1 species
UCUAGUGGCUUUCNCAAGCAGUGCUCAGCAGC